rnacentral:rRNA from 1 species
UACAGAGGGUGCAAGCGUUAAUCGGAAUUACUGGGCGUAAAGCGUGCGUAGACGGUUACAUAAGUCGGGUGUGAAAGCCCCGGGCUCAACCUGGGAAUUGCAUUCGAGACUGCGUAGCUAGGGUGCGGUAGAGGGAAGCGGAAUUUCCGGUGUAGCGGUGAAAUGCGUAGAUAUCGGAAGGAACACCAGUGGCGAAAGCGGCUUCCUGGGCCAGCGCCGACGUUCAGGCACGAAAGCGUGGGGAGCAAACAGG